rnacentral:rRNA from 1 species
CCGCCUGGGGAGUACGGCCGCAAGGUUAAAACUCAAAUGAAUUGACGGGGGCCCGCACAAGCGGUGGAGCAUGUGGUUUAAUUCGAUGCAACGCGAAGAACCUUACCUGGUCUUGACAUCCACAGAAGAAUCCAGAGAUGGAUUUGUGCCUUCGGGAACUGUGAGACAGGUGCUGCAUGGCUGUCGUCAGCUCGUGUUGUGAAAUGUUGGGUUAAGUCCCGCAACGAGCGCAACCCUUAUCCUUUGUUGCCAGCGGUCCGGCCGGGAACUCAAAGGAGACUGCCAGUGAUAAACUGGAGGAAGGUGGGGAUGACGUCAAGUCAUCAUGGCCCUUACGACCAGGGCUACACACGUGCUACAAUGGCGCAUACAAAGAGAAGCGACCU